AAGUUUACAAUGAAACAUUGAUUUAACACAGCUCUGAAACUUUACUAUGCAGAAGAAAAAUGCUGCUUUCAACCAUCUUAAUUUUAAAUGAAACAAAUACAGAAAUUGUUUCUUUACCAUGUCACAUCUUCUUUUCAACUUUCCCUUUAUUUUUUUAGUAGUUAACGUUUAACACAGUAUUAUGCUUAUUUGCUGCAUCU